rnacentral:lncRNA from 1 species
UCGCCUUAAGUUUCUUCAGUAUCUCACACACUCGUUUGGGUUAUUUCCUAUACAAUGAUCUUCCAUCUGAAAUGUCAAUUAGGUCCUGCAAACAGAGAUUGUGUUUAUACAAGUUAAUUGCUCUUAGUUAACUUGUAUUUCCUUUACUCCCCCCUCAAGCCUUGGAAUAUAUAUUUAAUAUUCCAAGCUUGGAAUGGAAAGUUGUGAUUUCUUUAUCACCAAGUGCUUUUGUUAGAAAAUCAGCAAGUUGGAACUUAGUUCCAAUUUGUUUUAAUGAGAUUUUCUUUUGAUUUAUCAUUUCUCUUAUGAAAUGACAAUCUACUUCUAUGUGUUUUGUCCUCUCAUGGAAUACUGGAUUAUUCGCUAAAUGUAUGGCUGAUUUGUUAUCACAGUAAAGAUCUGUGGCUAUUGGUAUUUUGAUUUUUAGUUCAUUCAUCAAUUGGUGAAUCCAUACAAUUUCACAAGUCACUUGAGCUAUGGCUCUAUAUUCUGCCUCACAUGAUGAUCUGGCUAUUGUGUUCUGUUUUUUGGUUUUCCAAGAGAUUAAUGAAUCUCCUAGCAUGAUACAGAAUCCUGUCAAGGAUUUUCUACUGAUUUGGCAUGCUGCCCAAUCAGCAUCACAAUACCCUCUAAUCACCAUGUUUGCAUUUCUACUGUAUAAUAAUCCUUGUCCUGGAGCAUUUUUGAUAUAUCUUAUUAGUUUAAACAGGACUUCUAGAUGAACCUCUCUUGGCUCAUGCAUAAAUUGACUCAGCCAGUUUACUGAGAAACUUAUAUCUGGCCUUGUUAUGUUGAGGUAUAUUAAUUUUCCAACCAUCUUCCUAUAGAAGGUUGGGUUUUUAAUUAACAUAGAUUUAUCAUUUUUUAAAUCUAUGUGUCUUUCCAUUGGAAUUUUGGAAGGUUUUGCACCAGAAAGACCAGAUUCUUCUAGAAUUCCUAAUGCAUAUUUCCUCUGGGAUAAAUAUAUUCCUUGAGGUGAAUAGGAUACCUCAAUCCCUAGGAAGUAGCUUAACCUUACUAAAUCUUUUAGUUUGAACUGAUUUUCCAAUUGGACUUUUAUUAUCCCAAUUUCUAAUUCAUUGCUGCCUGUUAGGAUGAUAUCAUCCACAUAUACAAUGAGGUAUAGGAUGUUUUGAUUUCUUUCUCUUAUGAAUAAAGAAUGAUCAGAUUUUGUUUGAAGAAAACCAAUGUCUAAAAGAACUCCUCUUAGUUUCUCAAACCAGCUUCUUGAAGCUUGUUUGAGACCAUAUAGAGAUUUAUUUAAUUUACAUACUCUUUUAUCUUUUUCUUCAAGCAUACCUUGUGGAGGUUUUAAAUAUACCUCUUCAUGUAAAUCACCAUGCAAAAAUGCAUUGUUUACAUCUAAUUGGUGUAGAUUCCAUCUUUUGAUGGCAGCUACUGCUUGAUGAAGCACGAAAUCUGCUACCAGUAGGCUCGCGGGGUUGCGAGGAGGGCCGGAGGCUUUGGAGUCCACGACGCACGCUCUACGUCAAUGUACCUGCAGAAGGGGAGGGGGAUCGGCGACUCUCUUGGGAGUAGGCGAUUCGGGCUUCUUGUAUUGCUCUGGUUGGUGUGUGUCAAGUGGGAAUGACAUGAGAGUAGAGGACCCCCAAGGACCCCUUUAUAGGGUCCUGGGGGACGUUUCCCCAUUCAUUAGCGUGGGGCCCACCCCAUUAAGGUAUCCUAUUGAAGGGUGCCUUAAUGACGGGGGCCCACUCAAGUAACGGCUGAGAGUCGUCGAUCCAGAGGUUCUGUCGCCGACUCCCCAUGAAUCAAGUUGGCAGUCUACCAAAACUGACCACGAGGCCUAGAGUCGGCGGUUCACCCCUGGAGUCGACGACUUGGUAGUCCCAGUCGGUGAUCCUAGGUGUUGCCCUGAGUACUUGACGUAGACACUUCCUCCGAAUUCGUAGAACUCUCCGGGGGUCCGGCAUAAAGCGGCGAAACCCUAGUCCUUGUUGAUGGGCGUUACUGGGAGUGACUGACGUAAUCAGGCAUGUCUCACUAGUACUCCCCUCUGAAGAGAGCACAAGAAACAUGCGUGUACCGCCAGUAUCCCCCCCCAAACAAGGUGAUCCGCAUCAAGACAAAAGCGACAAGAUGGGAUUGUGUCAUUGCGCUCACAGCGACACUAAUGACUCCGCGUGGUCCAUGCACUAUCAGAUGGACUGAUUUACUAUCAAAAUCUAGUUUCAGGCCAAUGGAACUACAUGUUUAUAGUCCUACUCUGAUCAAGAGCGACUUUUGCUGUGUGGAUUCUGGCCGAAGCGACAGAAUGCGUGGAUUCACUAUUAGAAUCUGAUUCUGACCGAAGUAACAGAAUGCGUGGAUUCAUUAUCAGAAUCGAGUUCUGGCCGAAACGACAGAUCGCGUGGAUUCACUAUUAGAAUCUGAUUCUGGCCGAAGCGAUAGAAUCUAGUUCACUAUCAGAACUGAUGUUUAUAGUCUACCCUGAUCAGGAGCGACUUUAUGUCCGCAACGACGGUUACCCCAUAAGCUAAAGCGCAAGAUGGGUCGAGAUCAUUAAGGUCAAAGCGACAAAAUGAUCUCCAAAUGUUUGAAGAACUAUUGAAGCCAAAGCGACAACAUAAUUCUUGGUUUGAUUCUGGUUGAAGCGACAGAAUCAUGCCUGUAAAAAACAACCUGCAAAACAACUAUAUCAGUCUAAAGGAUAUAUUUAUUGAUUUACUGACCUUGCCGUGUGGAGCUGCCUCUCAUGCUGCUCCUCCUUAUGCUCAAUAAAUCCUUGAUUGAUCUGUCCGAAGUGACAGACCUAUCAUGCUCAAAAAUGUGACAGCUUCUGGCCGAAGCGACAGAAGUGCCAGAGAACUUGUGAUACUCCCCUUGGAUUUCGACGAAUUCUGGCCGAAACGACAGAAGUGUCGGGAAGAGCUUGUGAUACUCCCCCCUUGAGAUCAUUAUGGCCGAAGCGUCAAAAUGACCUCUGGUCUAUCAAGGCUGAAGCGACGAGAUAGACCGACUCACUAUUAGAGUCUGACUCACUAUCAGAGUCUGGUUCACUAUUAGAACCUGGUUCACUAUUAGAACCUUUCCUGCAAAAAAAGAAAACAUCCUGCAAAACAACUAGAUCAGUCCAAAAACUCAUAUUUAACUUAUUGAACUUACUGUGUGAUUUUACCUUCCCUGAUGCCUCUCCUUUGCUCAAAUUGAUCCUUGGUAAAUCUGACCGAAACGACAGAUCUUACCGUGCUCAACUUUUGAUGACUUCUGGCCGGAGCGACAGAAGUGUCGGGAGAAUUUGUGAUACUCCCCCCCGAAGUGUGACAUCUUCUGGCCGAAGCGACAGAAGUGUCGGGAGAGCUUGUGAUACUCCCCCCGAAAUGUGACGACUUCUAUCCAGAUUGACAGAAGUGUCGGGAGAGCUUGUGAUGCUCCCCCCGAAAUGUGACGACUUCUAUCCAGAUUGACAGAAGUGUCGGGAGAGCUUGUGAUACUCCCCCUCGAAGAACGUGCCUUUGCGACACGCAAAUUUUUUGGUAUGAGUGUUUUUCGAAGUAUGUGACUGUCGGUGAGCUAUCUAUUGUUUUUCCUUUGCUAAUCAUUCAUAUAAAUUACCCUUUAAAUUGUAACUAAGGCCCGAACCUAGAUUCACAAGUCGUAAUUUAGCCGCUCUUGACGUAAAUUAGACUCUGCUAACCCUAUCGCUAACCACUCUGGGCGUAGACUUGGUCGUACGAAUCGUAGCUCAGCCUACGGUUAAAUUUGCGGAUAAUUUAUACCUCCAGAUUAACGUAGAGUUACUAAAGAUAGAGCAGACGACGAAUCAGAAAUAUUCGACACUCGAGGGUUGCCUUGCAAUUUGGAACCCUAACGAUGAAGAGAGCUUGUAAUACUCCCUCCUGAGGUGUGACGACUUCUGGCCGAAGCGUCAGAAGUGUCGGGAGAGCUUGUGAUACUCCCCCCUUGAAUUUUGACGACUUCUGGCCGAAGCGACAGAAGUGUCGGGAAAGCUUGUGAUGCUCCCCCUUGAAAACAUGCACUUGGGGCAGUUUUGCUGCUAUUUUACCCGGAGUCGGCGACUGGAGGCCACCAGUCGGCGAUACCUAUGGUAUGGGUAACUGCAGGGGGCAUUUUGUUUUUUACUCCUAUGAGUCGGCGACUCCCUCUAGGGAUCGGCGACUGCUAGCGUAACCGUCGGAUCCUUUUGGGAGAUCCUUGAGAUAUUUGGAGAAUAUACGGGGAAUAUAUGCAAAAUCUCCAAAUAAGGAAAUGUAUCUCACAGUAUUGCGAGAUUAUGUUUGGAGUCGGCGACUACUUUGUGGAGUCGGUGACAGUGGCGUGAUACGGGGGAUUUGGAGAUCGAUUCCCGAUCUCAAAUUUUGUAAUUUUAGGAUUUUCUAGGGGGUUUUUGCAAUUUUCCCAGGGGCUAUAAAUAGUGGAGAGUUCUCCCCAAAACCUCACAACACUUUUCCCCUUCUCAAUCGCCUAAAACCCUAGAAUUUUCUGUCGCCGAUUCCCUAGUUACAUUUCUUGAAUCGACGAUUCCCACACAAUGUCUUCCCCCGAUUCCCACAUUCUAAAUGAAUCCGAAACGUCAUCCUUUAUUGCUGAGAUGACCGUUGGUCUAGACGAGGUGCUGAACACCGUAGAGUCGUCGAUUCCCUCUCCUGGCAGAGGGGUUGAGUCGACGACUCUGGUAGUCCCACCUUUUGAUAUGGACAUGAGUGCCUCUGUGCACGAACUUCUUGGCGCUUUGCCAGUGUCGGCGAUUCCCCUUGCGGAGUCGGCGACACAGUGCAGGGCCCUUGUAGUUAACCCUGUCAAUGGAUAUCCGAAAUCCGAAUUCGAAUUCGAUUUCGAAUUCGUUUAAGCCUAAUCGAAUUCGGAUACGAAUUCGGAUACUGAAAAUACUAUCCGACACUAAUCGAAUUCGAAUUCGGAUACCUCUAAUCGAAUUCGAUAAUUAUCCGAAUUCGAAUAAAUAUUAAAUAUAUAAUAAUUUUAUAAUUUUAACCUUCUCUAAUAUAAUAUUGUAAUGUAAUCUAUAUGUUUUAUGAUUUUAACCUUCUCUAAUAAAUAUUAAAUAUCUUACACCAUAUUAGCAAUAAACCCAUCUCAUUUUUUAUCAAAUAAUAAAAAUAUCAAAUCCCUAAACCUAAUCCCUAAAUCUCUAAAAAUUCAAUCUUAUUUCUUAUUCCCCCUUUCUUAAGAGUUAGCUAGGGUUUGUGAUUUCUUCUCAUUCCUCCUUUUUUUUGCACAAGCACACAAGAGUUAGCUAGGGUUUGACUCGGCUCCUUCUCAGUUCUCAUCUUGGUAAGUGGUAACUCGGCUCCCCUCAGUCCCCACAAAAAAACAGAUUUUUGUGGUGAGAUGCUAGUCGGAUCAUGUGAAGAUUACUUUGUUGCUCAUCUUUAUCUCCUAAUCUUUAUUCUUUACAUCUUAAUCUUCAACAUGAGUCAUGACUUCAUCCCUUUUCCUUUCACAUGCUCUCGUUUGUUUUUGAUGUUUUAAUUAAGUAAUUUUUCACUGAUUAUGUUAGAAUUCUGAUAUUCAUUUUUAAUGUUAAAUUCUGUUGGAUGGAUACUUGUUAUGUUAAAUUGUGUUGGAUACUUGGAUUUAAUAUUUAUAGGGUUUUUUUUAAUAUUACAUGGUUUUUUUAAUAUUACAGGUGUUUUUUAAUAUUACAGGUUUUUUUUAAUAUUACGGGGUUUUUUUAACAAAAAAAAUAAAAUAUUAUUUUUGGGUUUUUUUAUAAAUGUUAUUCGAAUCCGAAUUCGGAUAUUUUUAAUCGAAAUCGAAUUCGAAUUCGGAUACGGAUUUUAAAAUUCGAAUACUAAUCGGACGAAUUCGGAUUAUCCGGAUACUAAUCGAAUUCGAAUUCGGAUACAGGGGUAUCCGGUUCGAAUUCGUUCGAUUGACAGGGCUACUUGUAGUCGUGCCUGAGGGUUCUCUUGAGCUGGGAGAGAUUCCCGGGUCCUCUGUAUCGGCGAUUCCCAUCGUGGAGUCGGCGACAGAUUGGGCACGUAAAGGGAAGAUCUUUCAAGCAGAGAGGGCAUGGCUCGAGUGCCACUGAGUCGGCGACUGCUGGCCGUGACUCGUCGAUCCUUUUCAUCGAGUCUGCGACUCCCAUGGAGAUUGAUAACUCUUCAGCGCGCCACACCGCUCCGUUGGUUGUAAACGCGGAAGGUCAUAUCGUGUCGGGACUGAACCCGCACCGGGAGUCAUCUGUGGGUGAUGGCUCUAUCAGACGUAAAAGACGACGCACCACUGGAAAGGGCAAAGUCCAUGUGCCCGAACAAGAUGAGGGGGUCCCCCCGCCUCUUAAUGUAAACUUUGAAGAGGCCUUGCCCGUUGACCGUGGUGUCCCAACCCACGCCGUAGAGCGAGCCGGCGCUCUAUUGAAAGAACUCCGCCACCUCCCGUGGACUUGGAUUCCAAUCGAGAUCCGGACCUCGAUUUGGAUACGUACAUUGGAGCUUUGAACCCAUCUGGGUUCGCUCACUGUGAAGUCGCCGUGAAUGGCGAACCAAGGUUGCUCCCAAUAGGCCGCUCCGGGGACGACGAAUUUGAGCAAGUCAUGACUCAUGCAACCUUGGAUGGUUCUGAUGGACUGAACCCCCCCUCCAACCUUAACGCGAGCGACGCUCGAGGCUUGUUAUUGGGGGUUCAACUCUCUGGGCAUUUGCGAUUCUGGAUAUCGCGUUACCAGCCUGCGAAUCUUCCACCCCCGGGAUUCCAAGCUAUUCCACGGAUCUACUUCAAGCACUUCUCUGAAUUACCGAUUCCGGAGAUAAUUAGUGAAGUGCUACUUACUUUUGAAGUGUCCCUGUCGCAGCUCCUGGAGGGAUUCUUCGUGAUCCUACGGGGAUUUUUGAAUAUCUGUUGGGGCAUGAGGAUUACUGCGACUGCCAGCUUGUUCCUUCAUUACUACAAGCUGACGAAAGAAAAAUCGGGAUCUGGUCGCGUCGGAUUCACGCGACGCCACUUUGAUAAGAAUAUCGUCGAUGAACUGCCGACGAACUUUGGAUGCAACUGGAAGAAGGAAUUCUUCUUCAUUACUUCUGAGUUUCUUCCCGGGAGUCGGGAAGCGUGGAAUGAUCCCCAACGAGUGCAUAUGAAUGCUUCGAUUGGGUUGACUACGAGGGAUAUCGAAGCCUCUGAUCGGAUAGCGCGGGUCCUGACUGACUACUCCGUGCCGCGCGGUGUUCCCUUUGUCUUUUGCCAAAGGGAAGACUUUACUUUUGAGGAUGUGGAUGAAGCUCAGCAGCCACCAACGGAGAAAGAGCUGGAGAGUGGAAAAAAGCGAUCGCUUUUAUACUUCGACGCCGCUCCUCUCUACAUGUGCAAGCGGUUCCGAGAGGGCAAGCUCAUUCGAUUAAGGAAGAAGAGCAAACGCGCUGAGCCUCGUCGGACCUUCGAGAAGGGAUCAAGCUCUCGCUCUGCGCAGCCACCCCCUACUGGUUACCAGCCCUAUACUUCUGGUGUGUCGCUUCCUGAUUUCAAUGCUGAUCCUGAGACUAGGAAGGAAGCGAUGUCACUCCUGAUGGGCCAGUCCGGGCGGUGGUGUCGGAGCGAGCUACUUAAGCAUAUGACUGCCGCUUGCUACAUGGCACAUGCGUGCUACAGUGCCGACUCCAUCCAUGAUGUUGAGAAGAUUCAAGAAAGAUAUAAUCAGCUUGACACAAAGUUUAAGGAGAGCGAGAAUGCCCUGGACAAGCUGAAGAACGUGAAGUCCCGGAUGGAGAACCUGCGCGACAAUAUUCUGCCAAAGAAGGACAAAACGAUUGAGUCCAAGCAGAAAGAGAUAGAUGAAUAUGUCGCGAAGAUAUUGGGACUUCGCCAGGAGCUGAAAGCCACCACUGCUGACCGUAUCAAAGAGGUUGAAGGUUUAAAAAGUCAGCUAGCUGGUGAGAUUGGGCACGUAGUUUCACUGAGGCUACUGUAGCAGAUUUGAGAAAGCAAGUCGCUCAAUACCAAGGAGAGACUACUGGGCUGAAGAGUGAGCUGGCUAGUGCAGAAGAGGAGAUCUUGGCGCUUAAGAAGGACAAGUCUGCACUCUCAGGAAAAGCUGAAGGAUUGGAGUUGGACGUGUGAUACCAAUCCGACCAAUUACAAGAGCUUAUCUUCUUUGGUCCUUUCGUGUUUCCCGUUUUACCCCCCGACUACAUUACGGAUAUAAUGGCAUGGGUAGAGCAGCAUCCUGACGAGCUCGAGAAGAACAAGGAUGCGUUGGAUAAGAUGAAGGACGAAGCUGCCCAAGAAUAGAUCUUCUCAGUCCUUAGAUUUAUUUUGUAAUCUUGUUAUCAUUUUUGUAAUCUUUUUGAACUUAAUGAAUCGUUUUUGCUUUCCCUUUAUUAAUUGUUUAUUUAAUUUACUCUUUUGAAUUGUAACUAAGACCCGAAACUAGAUUCGCGAGUCGUAAUUUAGCCGCUCUGGACGUAAAUUAGACUAACCCUAUUGCUAGCCACUCUGGGCGUAGACUUGGUCGUACGAAUCGUAGCUCAGUCUACGGUUAAAUUCGCGAAAAUAAAUUAAACUUCACAACUAAUAAAAACUCGCAAUAUCGAUUAAACUAAUAAGUUGAAAACAAAAAUAUCGGAGAAGAUAACAAGAAAUAUCGUAAUGUUGGUAUAAAUCUUAAGACUCUAGAAUUGUACUCUAGGUUCCUUACUAUGUAGUUCAACUCCGGCCGAAGCAACGGAGCAACUUUUGACCCAUACCAAGGUCGUAACGAUGAGAUGGGGUGAAAUCGUUAAGGCUAUAGUGACAAAACGAUUACUAAUCUAUUAAGGCCGUAGCGAUAUGAUAGAUUCUGGUAUGUGCGGUGGGUACUUAAAACCUCUUGUGGUUGGGUUCACUUGUACCUAUCAACUACCUAGGACUCUGCUUUUAGACCCUAAUGUGUGGUUGAACUCUGGCCGUGGCGACAGAGCAACUUUUUGGACCCAUAUCUAGGCUGAAGUGACAAGAUUGGGUUGAAUCGUAAUGUAUUAAAAACGAUUUUAAUCUAUUAAGGCAAUAGCGACAAAAUAGAUUCAUAGUGUGGGGUGCUAGCUAGAGUCGUAGGUAGAUGAUAAAUCUAAAUUUUAUUAAGAAUGUAAAUUACAACAGUAAAAUUUGCAAUUUUAAACUAACAUAUAGACUAAGAGGCUCUAACGUGCUCAAUACUAAGCACGAUGUUGCUGUACGUUGUCCGUGUGCCAGAUGCAAGGACUUUUGGGUGACAGCUUAUUUCUAUUCCUCUUAGUUAUGCUAGCCUUCCUGUGGGUCUACCACCAAAUAGCAUAUGGAUGGUUUUCCUUGGGUGGUCCUCGCUAUUGUCGUUGUCUGGUGAAGGAGAGCGUGGGCGUUUCCCUUUCGUGUCAGACUUGCAAUUGUUUCGACCUCAGGAUCCUUUGACCAGGUUGUCAAGUUCGCCGUUCGAAAUUAAUUGCUCGACAUAAAGCGAGAAUUCCCUGCAAUAGUCCGUCAGAUGGUCGUGGUCCUUGUGAAAUUUACAGAAUCUUCCAUUUUUGUGACGGCUAUCCUUGGUUGCAGGGUCCAUGGAGCGAGGAGCGGGCAGAUCCGCUCUGUUCUUCAGUUUUUCAAACAGCUCGCCUUUGCUGAUUGUUAGUGGGGUCCAGUCCUUCCAUGGUUGAGGUGGACCCCUUGGCGACUGUUUGAUGAAUGUUUGAUACAUUUUGUUAUCGCAUUUAGGCUUCCAAUCCUUUCUGAAGGAGUCAGCCGAAUCGUUAGUGUAUCUGUUCGAGGAGUCAUUGUAGUUCUUUCUCUCGAACUUUUGUUUUUUGAAGCUAGUGUUCUCAAGUUCCACUAGCUUGUUUUCAUUCUGCUCUUCCACCUCAAUGAAUGAUUGAGCUCAUUGGAAGAGGUCGGGUAGGGUCUCCACUUUAUGGAGCGUAAGAUUCAGGGCCAGAGGGGAGUAGGGUACUAGCCCGUUUGUGUACCUCGCAAUGGCCAGACUUGGGAUUAAGUCGCUCACUUCUGUCAUCAUUGAAGUGAACUUAAUCGUGUAAUCCCUAAGAGACAGUUUGUCCUGUCGUAGCGCCAGCAGUGCAUUGGCGCUGUGUUUGAUCCUAAUCAUCCCCACAUGUUGGGCGAUGAAUUUGGACGCGAGGUCUGCAAAGCUGGAGACUGAUCCAGCUGGCAGACCGGAAAACCACCGAUAGGCAUUGCCCUUAAGAGUGCCGGGGAAUGCUCGACACAGCAGUGCGUUGUCAGUGGUUUGCGGUUCCAGAACGCUGAGGUAGAGGUUGAUGUGAUCUUUUGGAUCACUCGAACCAUCGUACGACUCUAUUCUGGGCACCCGCCAGGUUGGUGGAAAGGCCACCUUCAAAAGGUCCUCUUGGAAAGGAGCGCUUUUGACUCUUAAGAACUCGAUCGGAUUGCUGAUGACUAGAGUGUUGGCCAGCUUCCGACGGAGGUCCUCUACGAAUCGUGUUGUAAGAGUCCUCUCAGUGCGACUAUUACUGGGUCCAGCUCUUGAUUUUUCUGGUUCUGGACCUUUCUUUUUCUCAGUAGUCGGAGAAUUGUGAAAAGCCGAUUCACACGCUCUCUUGCGGGUGAUGGUUCUCUGACUCCUUGCUUUCCAAAGGUUGCUAACUCUUCUUUCAAUGUUAUCCAUGAAGUUAACCAACCUUGCUUCUAGAGCAGGAGAGAUGGAUGUCCGAGGGUGCAGAUCAGUUUAAGCAUCUUCGAAUCUCUCAACUUGUAUGUUUGGCUGAGGAUGCUCAGUGUGUGCCCCAUCGGGUUUCACUGAGGAUUUACUUUUGUUUCUCAGAUGGUAAUCGUGCUUUUGUCUUUCAGAUGCCAUAGAUGACAAAGCGAAUUCCAACCGGAGCGCGGGUAUUGAUUGAGCUAACUCGAAAGAAACCAAGUGGAGUCGGCGACUGGCCUUAGGUUUUUUGACUUUCGAGCUGAGUAGAGGCUCGAGAAAAAACCAAGUGGAGUCGACGAUUCACAAGGUGUAGUCGGCGAUUCACAAGAUGGAAUCGGCGACACACGAUGGUGGAAUUGGGGACUGCUUUAGGUAGCUUUUCCUUCGAGUCUGGUCGUGGACAACACUCUUAGCUAGCAGAAUAACCCGCAAUCGGAGAUUCACUGGGUGGAGUCGGCGAUUGCCUGUGUGAAUCGGAGAUUCCUUGACACAAAGUCAGUGACUCACCUUAAGGGAAUCGAGCUGAACUUUGCGAAGAAAAUUUCGAGAUUACGACGGGAUAUCGUAGUUCGAUAUUCCCACAGACGGCGCCAGCUGAUGAAGCACGAAAUCUGCUACCAGUAGGCUCGCGGGGUUGCGAGGAGGGCCGGAGUCUUUGGAGUCCACGACGCACGCUCUACGUCAAUAUGCCUGUAGAAGGGGAGGGGAAUCGGCGACUCUCUUGGGAGUAGGCGAUUCGGGCUCCUUGUAUUGCUCUGGUUGGUGUGUGUCAAGUGGGAAUGACCUGAGAGUAGAGGACCCCCAAGGACCCCUUUUAUAGGGUUCUGGGGGACGUUUCCCCAUUCAUUAACGUGGGGCCCACCCCAUUAAGGUAUCCUAUUGAAGGGUGUCUUAAUGACGGGGGCCCACACAAGUAACGGCUGAGAGUCGGAGACUCAGGUAUGGGAGUCGCCGAUCCAGAGGUUUUGUCGCCGACUCCCCAUGAGCCAAGUUGGCAGUCUACCAGAACUGACCACGAGGCCUAGAGUCGGCGGUUCACCCCUGGAGUCGGCGACUUGGUAGUCCCAGUCGGCGACUUCCAGGUGUUUCCCUGAGUACUUGACGUAGACACUUCCUCCGAAUUCGUGGAACUCUCCGGGGGUCCGGCAUAAAGCGACGGAACCCUAGUCCUUGUUGAAGGGCGUUGCUGGGAGUGACUGACGUAAUCAGGCAUGUCUCACCACUGCUAUUAUAGUUUUUAUAGUGACCAUCUUCACUACUGGUGCAAAGGUUUCAAAAAUAUCAAAACCCUCUUUCUGUGUGAAGCCUUUAGCUACUAACCUUGCUUUAUACCUUUCUAUUUGUCCAUUUGGUUUAUAUUUAAUUUUAUAGAUCCAUUUUGAUCCAAUAGAUUUUCUGUUUUGUGGAAUAUUAGUAAGAGUCCAUGUAUUGUUCUCUUGUAAAGCCUUCAUUUCAUUUUUCAUAGCUUCAAUCCAUUUUGGAUCUUUUGAAGCUUCAUUGUAUGAAUUUGGUUCAUCAUUAAUUGUUAUUUGUUUUAAAUAUUGUUUGUGAAGUUUAUUUAUCCUAUUAUAUAAGACAUGAUUACUCAUAGGAUAUUUUGAUUUAUCACAUUUCUUCUUAUUUUGUAGAAUAAAUUCUUGGAAAUGUUUUGGUUCUACAAUUUUCCUUCCAUACUAACUUUUUUUUUUAUUUGUAGUUUUUAAGUUUUUAUUUUCAGAGUUUAUUGUACUCUGGUCUUGUUCUGAAUUUUUUUUAAAAUUGCUAUCUGAACUGAUCAGAAUGAUUUGUCCAGAGUUGUUCUCUAGCUCUGGGUUUUGAUGUUGUUCUUCUGAGAUUUGCCUUGAGGCAUUUUCUAUAUGAUUUUGUUGGCUAUUUAGUCUGUUUUGUCCAGAGCUUUGUUCCUUUUCUGUAUUUUGAAUUGAGUUCUCUGGCCUUCUUAAAUCCUGUUGAUUUGUUUGCCCUGGGAUAUUCUCUGAAUAAUCUUGCUGAUUAUUCAGAGUGUUUUGUUCAAGGGCUUCUCCUUGUUCUGAAUUUUUACUUCUAUUCUUAGCAGAAUAAUUUUCAGAAAUUUUUCUUGUUACCCCAGGGCAUAGUUCUGAAUGACUUUGUUUAGUGUUUUGAAUCUUAUAUCCAGAGUUUUCUUUUUGCUCUGGGUUUUGUAUUUCUAAUACAUUUUCAUUUGUUCCUGGUUUUUUAAAAAAAACAACUUCUUCAGUUUGAAUAAUUUCAUUUGGAGUAUUAUUUUCAACAGAGUUUUUAUAUAUGUUUUCUUCAUUAAACUGAUCAUAUUCAUGUGUGUCCAAUGAAUUACUAUUUCUUUUUCCUUGUUUACUGUUAUUUUCACAAUUGAAUAAUCUUCCAAUUUGUGAUGUUUUAUUAUUACCAAAUUCUGUAUUUUCAGAAUAUGGUUUUAUUGUUUCAUUGUGGUCAUCAUGUAUAAUUUGACUAUAAAGGUUUUGUAAUGGUCUUUUGUCUAUAUUUUGAAUGUUUUUAGGUAUAUCUUUAAAUUGAAAGAUGUUUUCCCUAAAGACAACAUUUCUUGAAAUGUGAAAUUUCAUUUUUUCUAUUUCUAAGACUAAAAAACCUUUUGUAUUUGAUGGAUAUCCCAUAAAAAUACCUUUGAAGGUCCUUGGUGAGAACUUAUGUUCUCUAAUGUUUGUGGUUGCAAAGCAUAGGCAGCCAAAGGUUUUAAAAUUUUCAUAAUUUGGAGUUUUUUUAUAUAGAACUUCAAAGGGUGUUUUGUUUUCUAAUGCCUUUGAAGGUAUCCUGUUUAUUAUAUGUGCUGCAGUUAGCACACAUUCUCCCCAAUAUUCUAUUGGGGCUGCACUUUGAAAAUGUAAUGCCCUUGCCACCUCUAAUAAAUGUCUAUGUUUUCUUUCAACUAUGGCAUUUUGUUGAGGUGUAUAUGGGCAUAAAUAUUGGUGAAUUAUCCCAUAAUUUUCAAGUAAUAACUUGAAUUUAUUUGAGUUAAAUUCCCCUCCAUUAUCACUUCUUAUUAUUUUUAUAUUUUUGUCAAAAAUAUUUUUGACUUUUAAUAUGAAAUUUUUAACACAUUCUAAAACCAUGCUUUUGUUUUUGAUCAAGAAAAUCCAAGUUGUUCUACUUAGAUCUUCAGCAAUGGUUAGAAAUGAGAAAUAUCCAUCAUAUGUAUUUGUUUGGAAUUUCCCCCAAACAUCCAUAUGAAUUAGAUCAAACAGAUCCUUUGAUUUUGAUAAACUAUUCUUAUAUUUUAGUUUAUUUUGUUUUGCAAGUGGACAGAUAUUGCAAUUUUCUUUUAUCAAAUCAAAAAUUUUAUUUAUUGCUGAAAAACUUUUAUUUUGAGGAACAAUAUCAUGUUUGUCUAUUUUAUUACAAUCAAAACUAUUUAUGGAUUUACAAAAAAUAGAUUUGCAUUUUAUUCUAUUGGUUUCAACAAGAAUUUUCAUCUUUUCUGAUGAAGGGUGUCCAAGCCUCUUGUGCCAAAUUUCGAAAUCCAUGGCUAUAUAAGCAUAUUGGGAGGAUUGAGACUCUAAAAAAUAAAGUCCCUUUUUGCACCUACCCUGCCCAAUCACUCUCUCGGAUUUGUUUUCCUGAAAAUGGCAUUUGAAUUUGUCAAAAAUGACCUUUAAAUCUGAAUCAUGAGUUAAUUUAUUUACUGAUAUUAAAUUAACCUUGAAUUGAGGUAUAUAUAAGACAUUCUUAAGUGUAAUGUCUUUGGAUAUUGUUAUAUUUCCAAUAGAAGUUACUUUGCAUACCUCCCCACUUGGAAUGGUGACAAAGUGCUCAUAAUCCUCUAUUGAGUUUUUAUCAAAAUUUUGGAGACUCCCAGUAAUGUGUUAGGAGGCUCCAGUGUCUAUGAUCCAAGAUUUUUCAUAAUUUGAAAUAUUAAAAGAAAAAUCCAUACCUGAGGAUUUGUUCAAAAAAUCCUUUAUCAUUAGAAGCUCUUCACUGGUCAGUCCUUGAUUCACAGAUGAAGUUGUGGCCUGAUUUGCAUUUUCAGUAGAAUUCUUCUUUUCUUUUCUGUUUUUCUUUUUGUCAUUUGGAAAACCUAUUAGAUGGUAGCACUUCUCUCUAGUGUGACCAAAGAACUUGCAGUUGUCACAGUAAAACCUACUGUUCAACUUCUUUCCAUUUUUUCCAUACAUUUUUUUCUUUGGUUCCUCUUUUCUAUCUUCUUUUUCAGAUUUUUUUGCAAAAAGAGCAGUUGAAUUUCCACCCAAUGUUUCCCUAGAGUUGUUUUUGUGCUUCUCUUCUUGUGUUACUAAACAAAAAACCUGAUUCAUAGAAGGAAGCUCGGGGUAUGCAAGUAUUUGACUCCUUAGAGUCCUAAAAUCAUCAUUUAAACUUAAUAAGAAAUGAUGAAUUUUUUCUUUCUCCAAUUUCUUGUUAUAAAUUGGAGUGCAAUUUGUACAAAAAUUACAAUCUGGCUUCUCUAUUUCUAUGAACUGAUCCCAUAAUGAUUUGAAUUUGUCAAAGAAAAUAGCAACAGAAUCAUUAGAUUGGGUUAGGGUGUUUAUCUCAUACCUCAAUUGAUUUGUUUUGGGGGCAUUUUUCUGCUUGUAUCUCUCUUGAAGAUCUGCCCAUGCUUCAUAAGCAUUCUCUGUGUGUAUGAGAGUUGAUCCUAUCUGGGGACUUACACUAUUAAUGAUCCAGGAUAGUACCAGACCAUUAACCAUCUCCCAGUCUUCAUAAUCCUCCCCUGUUUCACAUACCGGCCUUUUAAUUUUUCCAUUGAUAAAACUAGUUUUUUUUCUGGAAACCAAUGACAAUUUCAUUGAGUUUGCCCAGGCUACGUAGUUCUCUUCCCCAGUGAGUUUAUCUUCCACCAUAUGGGCACCUGGGUGAUCUCCAGAGGUGAGAUAGUAAGGUGAUUUUCUUGAGUACUUCUUACUGUCUUCAUCCUUGUGUUUGGAAAUCGAUUUUCUAUCCUUUGAUUUUUUAAGGGACCUGGAAUCAUGUUUAGAACUAUCAUCAAAAGAUACAUUGUUACCUUGUUUGCUUGAACUCUCUUGACUGGAAUCUUCAUCAGUCGGAUGUCCUUUCUUUGCGGAAGUUGGUGGGUUGUUUGCGUCGUCGCUGACAUGUGAUACCAUGUUAAAUCUCCUACUCGCUUGGCUGCUACCGGAUUCAAUUGCUCAGGUGAUGGUAGGAAUUGAGUAGAAGUGGAGUAGCGCAAGAUUGGGACGGAUUCUAGGGUUAUGCGACUUAACUGUCGCCUAGAAGCCGUUGGAGGGAGAUUAGAAUAGUAUUUUCUAUUAAUCACAAUUUGAAUGUAAUUAACUUAAUUAAUUCCAGUCACAAUGGUUUCCUUUUAAACUAAUUACAGCCCUAACUAACUUAACAAAUUAACUAUUUGUUAUUACAAAUAUUUGCUAAGUUAAUUGGUCUUUUAAACUAAUUACAACCCUAACUAACUUAGCUAAUUAACUAUUUGUUAUUACAAAUAUUUGCUAAGUUAAUUGGUCUUUGGCCCAACUGUUGUAGCCUAUGCGUGAAUUAGUCCAUUAAGUUUAAUUGGAAAUUUUGCAACUUGAACCUUAAGUUUCUUGUUUAUCACCGUGUGAGACUUCAUGAAACUUUUGCACUUUCGCCUUAAGUUUCUUCAGUAUCUCACACACUCGUUUGGGUUAUUUCCUAUACAAUGAUCUUCCAUCUGAAAUGUCAAUUAGGUCCUGCAAACAGAGAUUGUGUUUAUACAAGUUAAUUGCUCUUAGUUAACUUGUAUUUCCUUUAGAAAUCACUAGGUAAUUUAUCAACAACCAAUAAGUAGGUGUUGAAAAACCCUGAGUAACAACACCUGUUUUGAACUAAGAAGCGACCUGAAAAAGUCAUCCCAAGACAAUUAUUAAUGGUAACUAAAUUUUCAUAUAUUAAUGGUAACUAAAUUAACAUGAAUACAUAAAAUAGAACAGAUGAUUUUAUAAAUCAAAGGUCGGUCUACAAAACAUACAAGUAUUUCCUAACAAAACCGAGGUUGUUUCUACACCAUCAUCGGAAUCAUAUAAGCUGACUUGCAGAAGAAAAACAAACUGAAAAAAUGAAAUUGAAGAAAACUACAAGAAUAUUUUAUAAGAUAAACUAACCAUAGAGGUGAUAAUGACCAUAUCCUUUUCCAAGAACUGGAUUGGCACCGAUCGUUGCUGGGAACAGAUAUAUGCAGAUAAAUACGAAAAUGAAUGUGUUCAAUGGAUAAUAAAAAUAAAAAAUGUGAACAGAUUAUAAGGACUAUGUGUAACGAUUUCAGAGUUUUUCGUAAAUUUGGGGAUUACCGAAAAUAUGCUUAGGUCAUUGAAUAAUUAAGGUUAACGGAAUCGAAAAACGCUAUGGUGGAUAGACAUUUUUAGGGAAAACGAUGAAACAUGGAAUGGUGAACAUCGAAAAAAAUGAGUAUGAAACGAAAUAGGAUAUGUCGGAAAUAGUAGAUGAAAAUUUUCGCUCUAGAGGAAAAUAACAAAUAUGAAUUAACGGGUACCGGUAAUACGUCCGAAUAGUCGACGAAGUGGAAUCACGCAGAAAUUGAUUUCGACGACCGGAUAGAAACGUGGUCGACUCCGGCGAAUCGGCGAAGUGGUAGGAGGCAGAAUUUGUUUUUCAUGGACGGGGGACUGGACGGAUUAGAGAUAAGGGGAAAGUCUACACAAGUCAUUAAAGGCCUUAGUUGAAAAAAUUGAUUUGGUACAGUACGGCAGGUAUGGUCGACGCAGACGACUACCCACGACAGUACUACGCGAUGUCACCUCAGACACUCCGCACCUGACAAAUACAACGGACGGUGGAAGGACAUGGACGACCGGAUUGUACACUGUAUAUAAAAUAUUUGACCAAUUGAUCUAAUAUGUCGUAUUUUUUAUGACAAGAUUGCAAAUUGAUUAAUCAUCAAUGAUGA